rnacentral:rRNA from 1 species
UAGGGAAUCUUCCGCAAUGUGCGAAAGCCUGACGGAGCAACGCCGCGUGAGUGAUGAAGGUCUUCGGAUCGUAAAACUCUGUUAUUAGGGAAGAACAAAUGUGUAAGUAACUAUGCACGUCUUGACGGUACCUAAUCAGAAAGCCACGGCUAACUACGUGCCAGCAGCCGCGGUAAUACGUAGGUGGCAAGCGUUAUCCGGAAUUAUUGGGCGUAAAGCGCGCGUAGGCGGUUUUUUAAGUCUGAUGUGAAAGCCCACGGCUCAACCGUGGAGGGUCAUUGGAAACUGGAAAACUUGAGUGCAGAAGAGGAAAGUGGAAUUCCAUGUGUAGCGGUGAAAUGCGCAGAGAUAUGGAGGAACACCAGUGGCGAAGGCGACUUUCUGGUCUGUAACUGACGCUGAUGUGCGAAAGCGUGGGGAUCAAACAGG